rnacentral:rRNA from 1 species
GAUGAACGCUAGCGGCAGGCUUAAUACAUGCAAGUCGUGGGGCAGCAGGACUGUAGCAAUACAGUUGCUGGCGACCGGCAAACGGGUGCGGAACACGUACACAACCUUCCUUUAAGUGGAGAAUAGCCCGGGGAAACCCGGAUUAAUACUCCGUAACAUAUCGAUUAGGCAUCCUUUUGAUAUUAUAGCUCCGGCGCUUAAUGAUGGGUGUGCGGCUGAUUAGGUAGUUGGCGGGGUAACGGCCCACCAAGCCUACGAUCAGUAACUCGUGUGAGAGCACGAACAGUCACACGGGCACUGAGACACGGGCCCGACUCCUACGGGAGGCAGCAGUAAGGAAUAUUGGUCAAUGGACGCAGGUCUGAACCAGCCAUGCCGCGUGAAGGAUGAAGGUCCUCUGGAUUGUAAACUUCUUUUAUCUGGGACGAAAAAAGGGAAUUCUUUCUCGUCUGACGGUACCAGAUGAAUAAGCACCGGCUAACUCCGUGCCAGCAGCCGCCGUAAUAC